GACGAACGCUGGCGGCGUGCUUAACACAUGCAAGUCGAACGGAAAGGCCCCAGCUUGCUGGGGUACUCGAGUGGCGAACGGGUGAGUAACACGUGGGUGAUCUGCCCUGCACUCUGGGAUAAGCCUGGGAAACUGGGUCUAAUACCGGAUAGGACCGUGCUUUAGUGUGUGCGGUGGAAAGUUUUUCGGUGCGGGAUGAGCCCGCGGCCUAUCAGCUUGUUGGUGGGGUAAUGGCCUACCAAGGCGGCGACGGGUAGCCGGCCUGAGAGGGUGUACGGCCACAUUGGGACUGAGACACGGCCCAGACUCCUACGGGAGGCAGCAGUGGGGAAUAUUGCACAAUGGGCGCAAGCCUGAUGCAGCGACGCCGCGUGGGGGAUGACGGCCUUCGGGUUGUAAACCGCUUUCGGCAGGGACGAAGCUUUUGUGACGGUACCUGCAUAAGAAGCACCGGCUAACUACGUG
rnacentral:rRNA from 1 species